rnacentral:rRNA from 1 species
CCUACGGGUGGCAGCAGUAGGGAAUCUUUCACAAUGGGCGAAAGCCUGAUGGAGCAACGCCGCGUGCAGGAUGAAGGCCUUCGGGUUGUAAACUGCUUUUAUAAGCGAGAAAUAUGAUGGUAACUUAUGAAUAAGGAUCGGCUAACUACGUGACAGCAGCCGCGGUCAUACGUAGGAUCCGAGCAUUAUCCGGCGUGACUGGGUGUAAAGAGUUGCGUAGGUGGCAUAAUAAGUAGCUAGUGAAAUCUGGUGGCUCAACCAUUCAGACUAUUAGCUAAACUGUUAAGCUCGAGACCGUUAGGGGUAACUGGAAGUUCUAGUGUAGGAGUGAAAUCCGUAGAUAUUAGAAGGAACACCAAUAGCGUAGGCAGGUUGCUGGGACGGUUCUGACACUAAGGCACGAAAGCGUAGGGAGCAAACGGGAUUAGAUACCCCAGUAGUC